rnacentral:rRNA from 1 species
UGCAAGUCGAACGAACUCUGGUAUUGAUUGGUGCUUGCAUCAUGAUUUACAUUUGAGUGAGUGGCGAACUGGUGAGUAACACGUGGGAAACCUGCCCAGAAGCGGGGGAUAACACCUGGAAACAGAUGCUAAUACCGCAUAACAACUUGGACCGCAUGGUCCGAGCUUGAAAGAUGGCUUCGGCUAUCACUUUUGGAUGGUCCCGCGGCGUAUUAGCUAGAUGGUGGGGUAACGGCUCACCAUGGCAAUGAUACGUAGCCGACCUGAGAGGGUAAUCGGCCACAUUGGGACUGAGACACGGCCCAAACUCCUACGGGAGGCAGCAGUAGGGAAUCUUCCACAAUGGACGAAAGUCUGAUGGAGCAACGCCGCGUGAGUGAAGAAGGGUUUCGGCUCGUAAAACUCUGUUGUUAAAGAAGAACAUAUCUGAGAGUAACUGUUCAGGUAUUGACGGUAUUUAACCAGAAAGCCACGGCUAACUACGUGCCAGCAGCCGCGGUAAUACGUAGGUGGCAAGCGUUGUCCGGAUUUAUUGGGCGUAAAGCGAGCGCAGGCGGUUUUUUAAGUCUGAUGUGAAAGCCUUCGGCUCAACCGAAGAAGUGCAUCGGAAACUGGGAAACUUGAGUGCAGAAGAGGACAGUGGAACUCCAUGUGUAGCGGUGAAAUGCGUAGAUAUAUGGAAGAACACCAGUGGCGAAGGCGGCUGUCUGGUCUGUAACUGACGCUGAGGCUCGAAAGUAUGGGUAGCAAACAGGAUUAGAUACCCUGGUAGUCCAUACCGUAAACGAUGAAUGCUAAGUGUUGGAGGGUUUCCGCCCUUCAGUGCUGCAGCUAACGCAUUAAGCAUUCCGCCUGGGGAGUACGGCCGCAAGGCUGAAACUCAAAGGAAUUGACGGGGGCCCGCACAAGCGGUGGAGCAUGUGGUUUAAUUCGAAGCUACGCGAAGAACCUUACCAGGUCUUGACAUACUAUGCAAAUCUAAGAGAUUAGACGUUCCCUUCGGGGACAUGGAUACAGGUGGUGCAUGGUUGUCGUCAGCUCGUGUCGUGAGAUGUUGGGUUAAGUCCCGCAACGAGCGCAACCCUUAUUAUCAGUUGCCAGCAUUAAGUUGGGCACUCUGGUGAGACUGCCGGUGACAAACCGGAGGAAGGUGGGGAUGACGUCAAAUCAUCAUGCCCCUUAUGACCUGGGCUACACACGUGCUACAAUGGAUGGUACAACGAGUUGCGAACUCGCGAGAGUAAGCUAAUCUCUUAAAGCCAUUCUCAGUUCGGAUUGUAGGCUGCAACUCGCCUACAUGAAGUCGGAAUCGCUAGUAAUCGCGGAUCAGCAUGCCGCGGUGAAUACGUUCCCGGGCCUUGUACACACCGCCCGUCACACCAUGAGAGUUUGUAACACCCAAAGUCGGUGGGGUAACCUUUUAGGAACCAGCCG